rnacentral:tRNA from 1 species
GUGGAUCGUAGCUUACUUAAAUCUAUUCGACAGGAUAAACUGUAGAAGCUUAAUAUGGGACGGCUUUUGGACAGGGGUUCGAUUCCCCUCAUCUCCACCA